rnacentral:lncRNA from 1 species
AUUUACAUAUGUAAUGUUUUUGUUUCCACUACACAUUCUUUGUCACAAGGCCUAACCAUCUAGGUAAUUGCAGAUGAUGGCUCUUGGCUGUUGUCAGUGUCCAGAGCCAUAACCGACUGCUGGGAAGUACAAGAAAUAAUGAAAUGGGGGUGCUUCAGGUGGCAGCGGCCCGUCAGUGCUGUCCUCAGGAGCUCUCGGCCGUCCUGGACUUUCUCCAGGAGCGUGGGAACAAGUUCAGCCAGACAUGACUGAGAAGCAGUCCAGAAAUAUCCUAUGGACAGAAGGGAUAAGGGCAAGGUUGCUGUUUGGGGGCUUUGGACUCAUUCCCAUCUGCUGUCAAGGCAUCUCCAGCAGGAAUAGCAUGUAAAGUGAAGGAGCUCUCAGAGUGGUUACAAAGUGGUGCCAUUUCGGCAGAAGGAGAACUGGGAUGGACGCUGAGAGGGAAGGACGGGAGCCAGGACCCGCGCAGCCCACAUCCCGCGGAGCCGCCGCGUGCCGUGAUGUCUCGCCGCACCGGCCUCCGUCCUUGUUUCACCUCUCUCCCGUGGGAAUGCUCUGAAAGCUGAAGGGAAGGGCUGGGCCCGUACGUAUGAAAGAGCAGAUCAUCAUGCGUACAGAGCUUAGAACCACAAUAAAACCACAGGCUGCAAAAUACCGUCCCCUCCC